rnacentral:rRNA from 1 species
GACAGAGGUGCCGAGCGUUAGGCGGAAUCACUGGGCUUAAAGCGUGUGUAGGCGGACUUCUAAGUACCUUGUGAAAUCCCACGGCUCAACCGUGGAACUGCUUGGUAUACUGGUCGUCUUGAGCCACCUAGGGGCAACCGGAACAAACGGUGGAGCGGUGAAAUGCGUAGAUAUCAUUUGGAACGCCAAUGGUGAAAACAGGUAGCUGGGAGUGUGCUGACGCUGAGACACGAAAGCCAGGGGAGCAAACGGG